GGAUCAGUAUGUUGGUCGUGCUUAGGUACGUACUGUCAUUACUGGUUUCUCUCUUCCGAAGAACCUUGAUGUCAUUAAUUUGGUGUCUUGGGGAAUCAGGACUGUUACUUUGAAAAAAUUAGAGUGUUUAAAGCAGGCAUACGCUUGAAUACAUUAGCAUGGAAUAAUGAAAUAGGACGUUUGAUUCUAUUUUGUUGGUUUCUAGGAUCGACGUA
rnacentral:misc_RNA from 1 species